rnacentral:lncRNA from 1 species
GAUGAGGAUGCUUUAUGUUCCUUACACAAACUAGAGCAAUCGAUGGUCUAGGUAACCAAUAUUGUUGUCUUUUGUGGUGUGCAUGUUCUUAUUUGUUUUUGUGAUGCAUGUAUUUUCUUUUCGAUUUAAAUUCUUUCCACUAGAUUGAAAUUUUAGUGGUGUUUCCUCAGGAUCCGUCAAUGUCUCAAAUGCUUGAGGGUUUGACAAAUCCAUCACAAAAAGAUCAGAUUGAGGAACGAAUGGCACGAAUCAAAGAGGAUCCAUCUUUAAAACCUAUUUUAGAAGAGAUUGAGUCUGGUGGUCCGGCAGCCAUGAUGAGGUUGGGAUCACAAGUAGUUUGAUAUUACUGUGAAUCUGUUUGCUAAUAGUAGCUGCUAAAAAUUUGGGGCUUUUUACACCCUUGGUUGAAUUGUGGACUAAGUUGUGGUUAUUACCAAUUAGCUUGUUUCAAUUUUAUCCCUAAACUUUUAACUUCCAUAUAAUUGCUAGAAUGGUAAACAUCCUGGUUGGUCCCAUAUGUUUAUUGAGGUGAAUUGGAUUGCUAGUCACAAUUGCUUUUAUGCUUGGUUUGGUGUUAUGAUGACAUCAUUUUUAUAUUUAAUUGCCAAUGAUCAAAUUUUAGUCGUAGUUUCAGUGAAUUUUUUUAUCUUUAUUGGAUGACUUAAUAUUUAACCCAAAGUUCAGGAGCAGAGUAGUUCACCUCCAAAAAAAUAUUCUUAUUUGUGAAGAGUUCCUUGCCUUAUGUUGUGGCAAAGGUGGAUGCAUUCAGUUGAUUUAAUGCUAGGAUAUUAUUAAGCAAAAAUAUUGCUUUCAUAGGUAUUGGAAUGACAAAGAAGUGCUACAAAAGUUGGGGGAAGCAAUGGGUCUUGCAGUUUCUGGAGAUGCAACCACUUCUGUGGAAAAUCCUGGACAAGAUGAAGCAGAAGAAGCAGGAAAUGAGGAGGAUGAGUCAGUAGUUCACCAUUGUGCUAGUGUUGGUGAUGUCGAGGUAAAUUAUAACUUGUGUUUGUGUUUGCAUGAUUGUUGGAUUCCUUGUCACUUUUAUUUGCUAGGGUAUUAAGUAUUGUGUUUAUUAGGUGAUACAUAUGAAUUUUGAAGGCACCAAUCCAAUAUUUCCAUUUAAUGUAAAUGGAGUUUUAUGGGAUCAAAUUGGUUGAAACAGAUGGUAAAGCUGAGUUGCAAUGGCCAAUGAGACACAUCAUUGCACACCCGAAAUAUCAUGGGCUGCUUGAUAUUUUUGGUUGCAAUCAACAUCUUUUUUUCUGUAUUGUUUUACUUUAUUUUAUUUUAUUUUUGAUUUCUGGGUAUAAAUGUAAAUAUCUGGGUAUGUAAUAUUAUAUACUUUUUUUUAUGAGUUUGCUUUUGUCUACCAUUUAUUUUGUUUACUUUUUGUAUUUAUGGUGGAGCAUAUGCAGUUUGUCUAAACUUGAGUUUUUUUUUUUUUUUCUAUAGAUUUUUCAAUUAUUUGUAUAAAUAAUCUACAGAUUUAAAUUUCAAAAUUAAUGUUUCAAUUUUGGAUUUGCAUAAUAUAUUUUUUAAAUUUUAUGUUUUCUCAAUGAUUUAUGUUUGAAAAUAUAUAAUUUUUGGAUUUUUUUAGUAUAUUGAUAUUUACUUACAUCUUUAGUGCAACCCUUGGUUUAUUGUUAAUUUUGGACAUUUUACUAAUGGUUUAAUUAAAUUCAGGGUUGUGAUGGCAGAUCUGAUCUGCCAUGUUUUGAAGCAAUUCAGUUUGAUUCUGUUGCACCUUUUUAAUACCAAUUUCAAAACCUUUUUGGAAACUAUUGAUUCCAUUAUUUAUUUAUGCCAUGUUAUAUAGCUUUAUUUUUAUUCCCAAGAUAAAAGGCUUCUUGAUUAUUUUGGUGAUAUUUAAACUACUUUUGUGAUAACAUUUUUUUAUUUUUCUUCAUUGUUGAAAAAUAUCUUCUAGAUUUUUUAACUUCUAUAUUUUUUUUCCUUAUAUAAAUAUUUUUUAUUUGUAAUUCCAGCUAACUUUAAAUAGCUGAAGACAUUCUGUUUAAGCAGAGACUAAAAUUUUCUCCAUUAAUCAAUUAGGGUUUGAAAAAUGCAUUGGCUUCUGGUGCUGACAAGGAUGAAGAGGAUUCAGAGGGAAGAACCGCAUUGCAUUUUGCUUGUGGUUAUGGAGAGGUAUGACUGUUACCUCACUUCUUGCUUGUGUGCAUGUAUGCAAUUUUUUUUUUCAUUCUUUAAUUUUUGUAGGGUGGCAAGAGGUGGUGUAGAUGAAUAUUAAGAAUUUUUAACUACUGGUCAAUGAAAUAUCACAACAUAUCUGAAAACUGAUUUAGUGAAUGAUGGAUUAGCAUAGAUAACUGAUUGGGACUUAAACCUCAGAGUUAGGAGCCUAGACCUUCUAUGCUAUGUUGCGAGAAGGGAGUGCUUAGUUAAUGAAUGAUGAAUGUCUUCAUUCGGAAGCUUGCAGGAUGAUAAAUGUAAUAUGGAUAGUUAUCAUCAACGGAUAGCAAAGAAUUAUUGUUGGCUGUUAGGCUUUAGUUUAUAGGAGAAAGUGUAAUAGCAUAUAAUUGCAAAAAAAACUAUGAAAAAAAGACGCAACAGUAAUGGAACCUAAAUAGGUUUUGUUGGACACUUGGACUUGCACUUGAGAAGAAUAGAAAUUAAAUGGAAGAGUCAAUGUCACUAACACAAAAUUUUGUCAUUCACCUUUACUCUAGGUAGGCCAAGUUGAAUUAUUAUUAUUAUUUUUUAAUCUAUGAACAUACAAAUGUUAAGAACCAAAAGCUUUAGUGCUUUGCUUAACAGACCGAUUGGAAUGCCAUAUUUCGCUAUGAUAGAAAUCUUGAAGAUUAUAUUCUUUUUACUUUGGAAAGAUCAAUGUUCAUGAAGGAACGUUGUUAGCAAACCCAGCCUCCACAAGAUCCAGCUACAAGUGAUAGUCGAUGCUGCCACAUGUUGCUGAGAUUUCAGUGUUCUGCCAAGUUUUAAUUGUCAUUUUCUUAAGUUGUUUAUUGUUCAAUUUUCAAGAGUCAUGUUCUCAGUGGUUAAGCCAUAUUCUUAGUCGUUAACCCAUAAUGCAAUAGUGCAAGUUAGUUUUUGCUUUUUCUUAAUGAUAGGAUGGUGAUUCUCCAUGUUGUUUAAUAGUUUUCUGUUUUUAGUAGAUGUUUAUGUCUCCUCUAGUAUUUAGGUCUCUUGUAUUUAGGUGCAAUAGCUCAAUAAAAGAAUUACGAGAAAAUUUUUCAAAGUUUUUUAGUAUUUCAACUCAGGAGAUUUUCAGGUUCUCUCUAAGGAGAAAAUUCCAGCAACAGACUGAUAAGAGUUAGGAAUAGAGUUAGCUUGAAAAAUGAGAAGAGCAAUAAAGUAAAAAUGAAAUUAUGAUGAAAACUUGUAUUGAUUAGCAAUGGAAGACUCUACAAGUUUACUCUCAUAGCACAACUAGUAACAAGGACCAUAGAAGAACCCAACAAGAAAAAUAAAAUGACUCGGAAGAGCCCUCAAGAAAAGCUUCGCAUGCAGAGAAGAACCCUGCCCCUCUAACCAAAGAAAUAAUUGAUAUAUUUUCAGGUCCCCUUUCCAUUAUCCUCUUCCUCUUUUUAUACAAAUUUCUGUCAUCUCUGCCGGCUGUUCUAUCACAUGUUUCCAUCCCCAUUCUCUUCAACAAGCUUUAUCCUUUUUGUUAACAUAUAAUCUAGAAUACUCCAUAUUCCUAUCGCAGACCCAUAACUCAAUCCAUUUCUAAGGAUUCUAAUAUUUUGGUACUAGAGCCAGGGGUUAUGGGUGAAUCCAUCCAAUAACAACUUGAUUAAAUUUUUGCAUAAUUUUUGGAAGAGCAAGCUACCAACAAAGCUCGUUGAGAAGAGUUGAAUGCUAAGUUGGAAUCUCUCACACGUGACAUCACCAACUCCAAACUAGCAAAUGUAGCAGAAGGAAGCAACAAUUCUCAACCUUGUAGGGGCAAAGGAACGACUGAAACAGUAGGAUAAGAUAAUUUAGGUAACAAAACUAUUGUUUCAAAAUUCACCCAAUUGAAUUUUUUCCUAAUGGAUAAGAGACCCAUUAGGAUGGUUGAGUAGAUAUGAGCACUUCUUAUGUCACCAAUGUACCUAGCAGAAGAAAAAAAUCGAUUUAGCUUCUUCCCAUUUGGAUGGUAUAGCCCAAUUAUGGUUUUUGCAGUUAAUGCAUGAUUUUUCUAACUUAAUUUGGGAAGAGUUCAAGCACCAAUGCAACUUUCAUUUUGGACCACCAAUCGGUAGUAAUAAAUUGGGAAAGCUAGCAAAAUUAAAGCAAGCAUGAUUGAUUGUUGACUUCCAAAUCUAAUUUGAGAUUCUUGUCUCUCGAGUUGGAAGCCUCACUUGAGAUAAAAAAUUACAGUUUUAUCUCAGCGGGUUGCAAAAAUACAUUGGUGUGGAGGUGGAACUUCACUAAUCAACCGUCACGACCAUGAGCUUGUCAAGAUUGUAUGAACGGGAAAAUUGGCCCAUAUGUGCUGCAAGUCCUUCGACCAAUCAUUCAUCUCAAUAAACAACGGAAGGUACCGAAUAAUUAAGCGCUUGAACUGCGAGAAGAUGGAGGAACAACGACGAAAAGGACUUCGUUUUAACUGUGAUGAACCCUUUGUUUGAGAACACUCGUGCAAGAAACUAUUUUGGCUGGAUUUAACAUAUGAUGACAUGGGAGAUGUAGCAACCAACCAGCUAUUGGCUGAACAGUUCCCAUAGAGGAGGAGGCGGGGAGUAAUGUUAGCAGACCUAGCCUCCACAAGAUCCAGCUACAAGUGGCAGUUGAUGACAGCAGCAACCCAACUAGGGAUCAAGGAAUCAUGAGCCAUGGGCCAAACCCCUUGAGAUUUUACUACAGAAGAAAUGUGAAAGAAAAGGGUAGAUAGUUCAAAAUUUGCCAAGCUAGAAUGGACAAAAUAGGUGGUUAGAGUGAUUCUCGGGUAGUACCUAGAAAGAGAAAGAAUCUUUAUUGUUUUAUAAAUAUUAUUAGCUGUAGAGGACGAUAAGUUGUUAUUUUCUUUUAUGCAGCCAUUAUUGGGCUAGCUUGAGCUAGAAUUUCCUCUUUUUUUUUUGGGCUGUGAAACUUUAUUAGAAGGGAAUUGCCAUUGAAAUCCAAUAUCAGUCUUAUCUUCCCAUCCUUUUAUUGUUAUUUGCUCUUAACUCUAUCUGUUGAUGCUGCCAGGUGAUGAGAUUUCAUUGUUGUUGCGAGGUUUCAAUUUUCAAUUUUUAAAGUUGUUAAUUGUUAUUCUAUUUUCAAGGGUUAUAUUCUUAGUGGUUAAGCUAUAUCCUUAGUGGUUAACUCAUUAUGUAGACCGUGAAUAAUUUUUUGCUUUUCCUUGAUGGUAGGAGGGUGAUUCUCUCAUGUUGCUUAAUGGUUUCUUGUUUUCAGGAGAUGGUGCAAUAACUUAAUAAAAGAAUUAUGAGAAAAUUUUUCAAAGUUUUUUAAUACUUCAACUCGAGAUUUUCUAGUUCUUUCUAAGGAGUUUGUUCCAUCGCAACCAUAGGUCUAAAAAAGAAAAUUUCUUCCCCAGAAAAUUUCAGCAAUAGACUCAUUCUAAGGACCCUAACAAACAUAUAGUACAUGUCACCUUGUCUAGUGUGUUUUAAUCACUCAUGAUUUACUUGCCUUAAAUUAAUUUAAAUAAGGUCACUUCAAACUUAUCAGCUUAUGUGUGUUAAUCUUAUAUAAUCCAUUCAACCUGAGACCACUCCCUCUUUGCAUUCAUAGAUUUACUAUACUGCAAAACAUGAACAAUAUAACAAAUAUUGCAGAUCUCUGGCUGGCAUGUAAAUGCACCUUCUCAUAUCUCGAAUUUGAAUUAUAUGUGUGUGCUUUGUGUGCUUGAUGUGCACACAAGUUAGGAAUUUUGACCAGCUCAGUAAGUGGGGAUUCCUCCUUGCACCCUGGGACAUCCCAAGGUGUGCUUUCAACUAUGUCAGUUAUUUCUUCUUGAUGAAGGCACAUGUUUGUAUAUUGAUUAAGCUGUCAGAAGUGUUGGAGGUCUUGGAAAUGCACGGACAAAACGGUCUAGAUUUUUUGGUUACAUGGAAAUAAGAAAUGCACUUGAAUUUAAUUUCAUUUACUAUUUUUCAGGUAAAGUGUGCUCAAAUCCUUCUUGAGGCAGGAGCAACUGUUGAUGCACUGGAUAAAAAUAAGAACACUGCACUGCACUAUGCAGCUGGUUAUGGAAGGAAGGAGUGUGUAGCCCUUCUACUGGAGAAUGGCGCAGCUGUGUAAGUCUUUAGCAUCAGUUCGCAUAAUAUUUUGUGGAUUUUUAUGUGAAAUUUGUUCCCUGUAUUGACUCUGAUUCUUGGUUCGUUAUCAAACUGCAGUACCCUUCAGAACAUGGAUGGCAAGACUCCCAUUGAUGUUGCCAAGCUAAACAAUCAGCAUGAAGUACUAAAGUUGCUUGAGAAGGAUGCCUUCCUGUAACUAGGAGGAUGAGGGACGUGUGCAUGUUGUGGGCACUUCAAGUGUGAUAGACCAUUUUGUUCCCUGUGCUGUCUUUGCAUCUAUUAGUUGCUACAUCUUUCGGUUUUAUAAUCAGUAACAUAAUUUUUUAGAAGAAAAAUAUUUUAUGCUGAUUAGUUCAAGCAAAAUAAUUUGUUUACUAAUUGAUAUAGUUAUGUUAAAUAUAUAUGUAUAUUUCAUUUCCCUUAUUAAAUAGGUUAGAAUUGCUAUUUAUAUCAAGAAGUUUGACUAAGAUUAAUAAACUUUAAACAAUAGGAUAAAAUUUAUAACAAAGAAAAUAUUUAAGGGAGGUAAGUUGGUUUUUAAUAUUUUUGUUUUAUAAGUUAUUGUCAUAAUUGUCGCGUUUGCGUAAUCUGCUGAAGAAGGGCUUGUUAAUGUUAAUCAAACAAGGGAGUAAUCUCAUGCCAACAUUAUUUAUUGAACACUCAAAACACAACGAAAGAACAUACGAAUUUCAAAAAUUAAAGAAAUAUUUUUCCAUUUCACUAUGUUUUAUAGACAAUCUCACUUUAUUAAUUAUUAUAUAAAAAAUUUUCGCUUGUAAUACAAGAUGUUUGCUGAUAAAAAAAUAUUACAAAAAAAAUAAAGUAUAUUAGUAUAUUUAAAAUUCUGUUCAUUAAUAGUAUUUUAAUCAUAUAAAUUCAGUAAACAAACAACAAAUCCGUGAAUGUUUGAACUUAGUAUCAAAUACAAAAAUAAAAUAUUACAUGAUGAACUGGAAAAAAUUAAAUUAAAUUGAAAUAAAGACGAUUAAUUAAUUAUCUUUAAAUUAAAUUUUAUUAAUUUUGUCGGUGAUAAUAUUUUUCGAGUUUUUUUUUUUAAUCUUCCUUAAAAAGUAAGAAAUUAAAGGUAAAGCCCAGUCAUGUAUUGGGCCCCACGGAUUGGGCUUUAGAAAUAGAAGAUUGGGAAAGGGGAUGUAAAAUCCUUGGCACGAAACGAGAAUGGAGAAGAUGAGGAUUAAGGUGGCCCCACUCGCCAACUCAUUCUAUCCUCUAUUCUGUUAAAUAUUUCUCUCUCUCUCUCUCUUGUCUGCUUCUCUUUUUAUUUUUUAAUAUUAGAGAAGGAAGGUUGACACAUCGCACGUAGAUAGACACCCACGCACACUCACAGAUAGGGUUUCCAAUCUAGUCCUCAAACCGAAGUCUCUCAUUUCUUUACUACAUCUCCCUCGGGUUUGGCUCUGAUUUCUAUUUCUUUUUUUGAAUUUUAAUUUCGUUUUUAUUGUUUUCCUGGACAUCUCAUAAUUCUCUCGAUUCAGCUUCUUCUCAUGGCUUCCAAUUCGAACAAGGAUGUUCCCUCUGGUAUGCUCUUCUUUUUUCCUGCUCAAUUUACUAGUUUUAUUUUUCUUGAAAUCUAUUGGGGUUUUACUUUGUUUGUUUGCUUCGAGUUUUGUCGGUCCUCCUCUAAGGAUUGCGCUCUAAUCCUUCAAUUGUUUUCUUCUUUAUACUUAAUCGCCGAAAGAGUUGAUGGCAGCACUAGAAUUCUAUGCCCUUUUCUUAACGGAUGUUUUCUUUAUCUUCUUUUAAUCGUUUACUAGUACUCUGUAUUGAGUAUAAAACAUUAACCCUUUAUUUCGCAUGAUUCAUUUUGUAAGAAAAGAAUUCAAAUGAAUUUUUGCAAAAUCAUGUGAGAUUUCAACAUGUUUGAAAUGAAAAUUUUUUAAGUUGAAAAGAAUUGAGUUCUUUUAUUCCAAACAAAAGAUAAGAAAUAAGAACUUUCAUUCCGUUCCAUUUUGGAUACUGUACAUGCUUUGGAUCUUACGAAGAACACUUUGUUAUAUUCAUUAUUUGUUGUUCAUGCUUACUAUGGAUGUUUCCUGCUGCAUGUCAUAAUUAGCCUGUUGAAGUGAAUUGCUGUCACUUUAUUUGGAAUUAGUUACCUGAUUUAUUAAUUUUUCUCACGUAUCCCUUGCCUUUUCCUAGACGAGAAAACAGGUUCUACUGAAAGCAAAAUCCCUAAAUCAGAAGUGUCGUCUGGGGAGUCACAGUCAGGACAGGGAAGAGCUCCCCCUACUCCAGGACCUGGAUUUGUUCCCAAUGUUUUUGAUUUCUCAGCGAUGAGUGGCCUGCUUAAUGUAUGUUAUCCAAUUUCACAUUAUUUUCAUUUUAAUGUCAUCUAUGCUUUUUUCUACUCCUUUUCCAGUAUGUUGUGCUUGCUAAGAUGCUUCUAUUGCGAUCAGAAAGUGUAGAGAGAGUAUGAGCAGAUGAUUUUAGGUGUUAAAAUGCAGCUGGUUUAAUUUGUUGCAUAGCUGCCAAGUUAGUCCAUUUCAAUUUGGCUGUUAAUCACCCAGUGCAGUCAAAAGCUUAUGUUCAUGCGAGAUGCCUCAUGCAGAUGCUUGCUUUAUUCAUGGAACUGUACACACUGCCAAGCUUUGGUCACUGUGCACCUCACAUAAAAAUUUGGUUUCUGUUCCAGGUUCUAGAAGACAUGUACAAAAAGGUUAAGCAGUUAAUUGUUACGAGUCUAAUCAGAUUUUUAUUUUUUGGCACCCAGGGUUCUUAUUGAUUUCAUCAUCAGGCAGUGAGUUUAACUAUUUACUUUUUAAUUGUUUAUUUUAUUUUUUCUCUUCUCUACCAUUUCAGUCCCUCUGUUUCCAUUUUCAAAUCUUGGUACUACUUCCUAUUCUCCCCUUCUUUUGGUUUUAAAUCUCACUUCCUUGUCUAUCCACUUACCUUGCAAAAUUUUUUAAUCUAAUAUUUGUUGCCUUAUCCUCAUCAUCAGCAUCAUUUUGCGAAGUAAUUCUACUUUGUCCCACUGUUUCUUCUCUAGGCAAUAUUUUUAACCUCAUCAUCCUUUGUCUUCUUUAUAGUAAUUUGUUCAAAACUUUUUGAACUUGUUUCUUUAUUAGAAGGAAAAAAUACCUUCUACUUUCUAUACUUGUGUUAAAAUUUUCUUUGUUAUGGAAUGCUGUUGCUUUAUUAGCCUCAGUUAGGUCAUAAUCAUUCAGUCCCAAAACCCACAUAAAGAAUUGUUGUGGCAGGUAUCAUCCAUCUUAACAUUCUCAUCCCAUGACAUCAAUUCAAACAAAUGUAGUGCUUUUUGUUGGGCCAUGCAUUGCACCUCAAGCAAUCAAGGAAACUGUUGCCGUAAUUGCACCUUUUGCUUUUGUCUCUCUUGAGUCAUUGGGUGGGACUUGAUGGGGGAAAGGAAUAUUUGAAUUGAACUAUGUUCAGCAAAAGUUAUUCAUUUGAAUGGGAAAACUUUUAUGUAUUUAUUCCUGGCACAACUUUUUAUAUAAUUAAUUGGCUUUAGUUCACUGCAGUAUUGGAUACUUGAUACUUGUUCUUCGCUUGUAGCCUUGUUCGUAUUUUCUUCUUGACCUUUAGGUUUUACAAUUUCCUUUUUCCUUUGUCAUUAGUCAAUGUGCAUGGCUUGCUCUAUGUAGGACCCAAGCAUCAAGGAACUGGCUGAGCAAAUAGCAAAAGAUCCUUCAUUUAACCAGAUGGCAGAUCAGCUCCAUAAAACGCUUCAAGGUGUAGGAGCUGAUGAUGGGAUCCCUCAGUUCGAUUCACAACAAUACUAUUCCACCAUGCAACAAGUUAUGCAGAAUCCUCAAUUUAUGACUAUGGCUGAACGCCUUGGCAAUGCAUUGAUGCAGGUAUAUCUGGACUCCAGCUUCAUUUAAUUGUUUUUAAUUUUUUCAGAAAACAUUGCACCUUAAUGAUUUGCGUUCCAAAUCACAUGAUCCAGAUUAUGUAUUAUUAGCAAACUGGAGUUAAAGCUUGGAAUUUUAAAUGCAAAAAAUAAUGAAUGAGUAGAUAAUUAAAAAAUCUCAAGCAUACUUUGAGAUAACAUUGAUUUUAAUAUCAUCAUUAUGAUGGUGUAAGUUUUGGGAAUUUUCUCUUCUUUUUUUUUUUAAAAAAUUUUUAAAAAUCUUUUAUAGCAUUGAAUUAGUUGAUAUAAGCAUAUUUUUAUUGAAAAUUAAUUUACUAUAACUAUGGGAUAGCAGAAAAUCUUUAUGUUUAUUGUUCAGUCCAUAUAUAUGACAUUUUCUACAUUUCAUUACACGUGCUAUUCAGAUAAUCUACUUUGUAUCCCACUAAGCAAAUUGAAAGAAACCUUAUCAUACCACAUUUUCAGACAAGGAAGCUUUACAUUCCUGUUUUCUUUUAACAUACUUGAGCAACCGAUGGUCUAGGUAAUCUAUAUUGCUUGGUUUUGGUGUGUGCAUGUUCAUAUUCAUUUUGGUGGUGCAUAUAUCUUUUCUUUUCGAUUUAAAUUCUUUCCACUAGAUUGAAAUUUUAGUUUUGUUUCCUCAGGAUCCGUCAAUGUCUCAAAUGCUUGAGAGUUUGACAAAUCCAUCACAAAAAGAUCAGAUUGAGGAACGAAUGGCACGAAUCAAAGAGGAUCCUUCUUUAAAACCUAUUUUAGAAGAGAUUGAGUCUGGUGGUCCAGCAGCCAUGAUGAGGUUUGGAUCAUGAGUAGCUUGAUAGUACUGUGAGGCUGUUUGCUUGUAGUAGCUGGCCAAAACUUUGGGUUUUAUUGCAGCCAUUAGUUGUUGAAUUGUGACAAGUUUGUAGGAGGUUAUUACAAAUUAAUUUGUUUCAAUUUAUCACUAAACUUUUAAAUUCCAUAUGAGUGUUAGAAUGGUAAACAUCCUGGUUAGUGACAUAUAUUUACUAAGAUGAAUUGGAAUUGUUACUUACAAAUGCUUUUACACUUGGUUUGGUGUUAUAAUGACUUCAUUUUUAUAUUUAAUUGCCAAUGGUCAAAUUUUAGUCAAUAGUUUCAAUGGAUUUGUGAUCUUUAUUGGAUGACUCAAUACUUAAUCGAAAGUUCAGGAGCAGUGGUGUACUUCAUCUCCAAAAAAGUAUUCUUAUUUGUAUAGAGUUCCUUGCCUUGUGGUGUGGCAAAGGUGGAUGCAUUCAGUUGACUUAAUGCUAAUACAUUAUUAAGCAAAGCAUAUUGAUUUCAUACUCAUAGG